AACGAACGCUGGCGGCAGGCUUAACACAUGCAAGUCGAGCGCCCUAGCAAUAGGGAGCGGCGCACGGGUGAGUAACGCGUGGGAACGUACCAUUUAGUGGGGGAUAACUUCGGGAAACUGAAGCUAAUACCGCAUACGCCCGAGAGGGGAAAGAUUUAUCGCUAAAUGAUCGGCCCGCGUGAGAUUAGGUAGUUGGUGGGGUAAUGGCCUACCAAGCCUACGAUCUCUAGCUGGUCUGAGAGGAUGAUCAGCCACACUGGAACUGAGACACGGUCCAGACUCCUACGGGAGGCAGCAGUGGGGAAUAUUGGACAAUGGGGGAAACCCUGAUCCAGCCAUGCCGCGUGAAUGAUGAAGGCUUUAGGGUUGUAAAGUUCUUUCACCGAUGAAGAUAAUGACGGUAGUCGGAGAAGAAGCCCCGGCUAACUUCGUGCCAGCAGCCGCGGUAA
rnacentral:rRNA from 1 species